UACGAAGGGGCGAGCGUUGUUCGGAAUUACUGGGCGUAAAGGGCGCGUAGGCGGCGCGGAUAGUCGGCGGUGAAAGCCCGGAGCUCAACUCCGGGUCGGCCGUCGAUACUUCCGGGCUUGAGCACUGUAGGAAGGCAGAUGGAAUUCCGGGUGUAGCGGAUGGAAUGCGUAGGAGAUCCGGAAGAACACCGGUGGCGAAGGCGGUCGUGC
rnacentral:rRNA from 1 species